AUUGAACGCUGGCGGCAUGCCUUACACACGCAAGUCGAACGGCAGCGGGGGAGAAGCUUGCUUUUCCUGCCGGCGAGUGGCGAACGGGUGAGUAAUACAUCGGAGCGUGCCCUGUAGUGGGGAUAACUAGUCGAAAGAUUAGCUAAUACCGCAUACGACCUGAGGGUGAAAGUGGGGGACCGCAAGGCCUCAUGCUAUAGGAGCGGCCGAUGUCUGAUUAGCUAGUUGGUGGGGUAAAGGCCUACCAAGGCGACGAUCAGUAGCUGGUCUGAGAGGACGAUCAGCCACACUGGGACUGAGACACGGCCCAGACUCCUACGGGAGGCAGCAGUGGGGAAUUUUGGACAAUGGGCGAAAGCCUGAUCCAGCAAUGCCGCGUGUGUGAAGAAGGCCUUCGGGUUGUAAAGCACUUUUGUCCGGAAAGAAAUGGCUCUGGUUAAUACCUGGGGUCGAUGACGGUACCGGAAGAAUAAGGACCGGCUAACUACGUGCCAGCCGCCGCCGUAA
rnacentral:rRNA from 1 species